UUCCUCCAUGAAGUCAUAGCUGAAGGGGUACUUGGGGGUGGAGGAAGUAGACCAUGGGGGAAGAGGGUGCCUUUAAAAGGUAUAUCUUGUCCCUGUCUUCUUCUUCCCUGACUCUCUCACCUUCUCUUCUUCCUUGCCACCAUGAGGUGAGCAGUUGUGCUCUCUCCCACGAUCCUCAGCACCAGCCCUGAAGCAGCAAGGCCAAGGGACCACGGACUAAAGCCCCUGAAACCAUUCCAAGCAUUCAAGAAGGGUGUGAAGAAUGAAAAGAGGGGAAACAUCCUGCCAUCGAGUCAUAACCAUCAAUGCAUGAGUAGCUGAAUAAUCCUCCUUCAUAUGUUAAAAGGUGUCUCAACCCCAUUGGCAGUGGAGAAAAUCAUGACUGGCCAAGGAACCAACUCGCCAAAAGUCACAGGGACCAGUGAGGACUGGGCCAGACCAAUCAGCUACAUUGAGCUGGGAAACAAGCGAAGAAGCUGACAGCUCGGCGCUAAGAUCUCUGAGGGGAGCCAGAGGCGUGUGAGCAGAUGACAUCUCCACGCUCCAGAGCGAAGUCUAGCCACCCAAAAUGUUAACAAUACCAUCCGCUCUCCCUGGGAAAAUAAACCUUCGCUUCAAAAAUAAACUUGACUAAAGGU